rnacentral:rRNA from 1 species
CUUUACUAUAGCUUCACAUUGGUAUUGGGAGAAUGAUGUGUAGGAUAGGCGGGAGGCAAUGAUCCCGGGCCGCUAGGUUCGGGGGAGUCAACGGUGAAAUACCGCCCUUUAUUUUCUUGAUGCCUAAUCACGCGUAAGUGUGAGACAUUGUGUGGUGGGUAGUUUGACUGGGGUGGUCGCCUCCGAAAGUGUAUCGGAGGCUUUCAAAGGUACCCUCAGUACGGUUGGUAAUCGUACGUGGAGUGCAAUAGCAUAAGGGUGCUUGACUGUGAGACAGACGUGUCGAGCAGGGACGAAAGUUGGAUAUAGUGAUCCGGUGGUUCUGUAUGGAAGGGCCAUCGCUCAAAGGAUAAAAGGUA